rnacentral:ncRNA from 2 species
UAUGCUAUACUGAAUAAGUUGCUCAGCAACCCUUGGUGCUUACUUCCCUUUCACCAAGCAUAUUAUAAACGGGACAACCGUCAAAGGAGAAAUAAUG